rnacentral:sRNA from 1 species
GACGCAGGUCUUUAAUGGAAGGCGAUGAGGAGACGGCGCGGAGCCGGCCGCUCGGCUGGUCAGGAAUCCUCGAGAUCGGAACGAGGAUCUCUUGACGCGCAGAAUGCAAAAGACACCCGAAACGGGUGUCUUUUGCAUUCUUGGGGUACAGCUGCGAGGCCAUUCAU